AGAGUACCUGGAGGGAUCAGAUGGUGGCGCUGCUGCCUGAUAGCCAUCACCAAGUGCCUGCAUGCUUGGGUGAUGAGCCCAGCCUCCCUUUCUUCUACAAGACUGAUGCAAAUGAUGAGUUUGGGAUAAUUACUAUCUAAAGACAGGGGCUGCUAUCUUCUAGAAUGUACUUUUGGUCAUGAGACAACUAUAAUGGGAUUGUGGGAGAAAAGGGCUAGACACAGCAGAUGCUGCUAAGAGGUGACCCAAGCUCUAGGGACAUCUAAGAGUCCAUUGGUUACCAAGGAAGGGGCCCUGAUGAGGGUUACUACAGUCAGUGCUUUACAAAGGAAGGUAGGCAGCAAUGCCACAGUUUUAUAUUACUAUUUUAUAGUAGUGAUGGUUAUUAUUUUAUGACAUACUUUAAUAUGUUAAUAGCAUAACGUCAUGACAUUCAUUUUAUCUAAAGCUUACAUUGUAGUAUUGUCUACAUUAUAUACAUUGUAUAUAUUGGUCAUUUCAUGUUAUAUGUUGGUACAUUUAUGAUAUAAUCAGUUGCAUUUUCAGAAUAUACUAAGCUAAACUCUGUACCAACAAUAGUGAAUUUUCUUGUUUGAAUACUAAAGGCCACAAUGGGGAUACUGAGAUGAGAAUAUAGUAAAAACCAUAGAAAAUAAGAAAACGUUCUUUUUUUUUUUUUUUUGACAGUUCUGGGGCUUGGACUCAGGUCCUGGGCACUGUCCCUGGCUUCUUUUGCUCAAGGCUAGCUAGCACUCUACC